GACGAACGCUGGCGGCGUGCUUAACACAUGCAAGUCGAACGGAAAGGCCCUGCUUUUGUGGGGUUCUCGAGUGGCGAACGGGUGAGUAACACGUGAGUAACCUGCCCUUGACUUUGGGAUAACUUCAGGAAACUGGGGCUAAUACCGGAUAUGAGCUCCUGCUGCAUGGUGGGCGUUGGAAAGUUUCGGCGGUUGUGGAUGGACUCGCGGCUUAUCAGCUUGUUGGGGGGGUAGUGGCUUACCAAGGCUUUGACGGGUAGCCGGCCUGAGAGGGUGACCGGCCACAUUGGGACUGAGAUACGGCCCAGACUCCUACGGGAGGCAGCAGUGGGGAAUAUUGCACAAUGGGCGGAAGCCUGAUGCAGCAACGCCGCGUGCGGGAUGACGGCCUUCGGGUUGUAAACCGCUUUCGCCUGUGACGAAGCGUGAGUGACGGUAAUGGGUAAAGAAGCACCGGCUAACUACGUG
rnacentral:rRNA from 1 species